rnacentral:rRNA from 1 species
GUGUCAGCCGCCGCGGUAACACGUAGGGGGCAAGCGUUGUCCGGAAUUAUUGGGCGUAAAGAGCUCGUAGGCGGCUCGGUAAGUCAGGUGUGAAAUUCCAGGGCUCAACCCUGGAACGCCACCUGAUACUGCCGUGGCUAGAGUCCGGUAGGGGAGCGUGGAAUUCCUAGUGUAGCGGUGAAAUGCGCAGAUAUUAGGAGGAACACCAGCGGCGAAGGCGGCGCUCUGGGCCGGAACUGACGCUGAGGAGCGAAAGCGUGGGGAGCAAACAGGAUUAGAUACCCUGGUAGUCCACGCCGUAAACGUUGGGCACUAGGUGUGGGACUCACUCAACGGGUUCCGUGCCGAAGCUAACGCAUUAAGUGCCCCGCCUGGGGAGUACGGCCGCAAGGCUAAAACUUAAAUGAAUUGACGGGG